rnacentral:other from 1 species
UAGAGCCUGCCCUGCUCGUGACAAGGGAUGAUGUUAAUCCACCAAGUUAGAUCUUUAGGGAGCUGGAUAAGGGGGUACGGUGUGCAUGUCUUCCUCGUUGAAGAAAGCCUAAUGUCCUCCUUGGGGCGCCCACUUGGGAAAAGUGGAUCUAACGCUUUCGCUUGCACGGCAGGGUGGGUUUUAU